CCCCUCCUUCCCAGAACUCAAAAUUUCGGUCUAAGCCUUUUUUUAGGCCAGCGGCCUCCUCCGCUGAGGGGGAACCAGCAACACAGGCCGGCCCAGUGAACCCUUGCCGAGUCCGCCGCGUCUAGCAAGGCUGCGCUCCGUCUUCCGCUGUCCUCCAUCCUUUCAUCUGUGGGCUGGUCCAGGGAGUCUACCUUCGUGAAGUUUUAUGGGAGGCCAAUUAGCAAGAAGGGGUUAUUUGCACAGGCGGUGUUGGCGGAGGAUGGGUCUCCUCCAUGAAUAUGUAAAAUGUACUACGGGGUUUUGUGGUGGUUUUCAUAUGAUUUCAUUGUUUGUCCACAUAUUUGUACUUAAUUGUAUGCUUUUGGCUGGAAUACAUGAAGAUGAUAC